CUUCAUUUCAUGAUGAGUUAAAGAAAAAAAGUUGGUGACUUUUAUUUGUUCAGGUAUAGUCAGGAGUAGUUAAGAAAACAGGUUCUAGGGGGCUGGGUGUGGUGGCUCACGCCUGUAAUCCCAGCACUUU